rnacentral:rRNA from 1 species
UGAGAUGUUGGGUUAAGUCCCGCAACGAGCGCAACCCUUGAUCUUAGUUGCCAGCAUUAAGUUGGGCACUCUAAGGUGACUGCCGGUGACAAACCGGAGGAAGGUGGGGAUGACGUCAAAUCAUCAUGCCCCUUAUGACCUGGGCUACACACGUGCUACAAUGGAUGGUACAAAGGGCUGCAAGACUGCGAAGUCAAGCCAAUCCCAUAAAACCAUUCUCAGUUCGGAUUGCAGGCUGCAACUCGCCUGCAUGAAGCUGGAAUCGCUAGUAAUCGUGGAUCAGCAUGCCACGGUGAAUACGUUCCCGGGCCUUGUACACACCGCCCGUCACACCACGAGAGUUUGUAACACCCGAAGCCGGUGGGGUAACCGUAAGGAGCCAGCCGUCUAAGGUGGGACAGAUGAUUGGGGUGAAGUCGUAACAAGGUAA